rnacentral:rRNA from 1 species
AUUGAACGCUGGCGGCGUGCCUAACACAUGCAAGUCGAGCGGUAACAGGUGUAGCAAUACAUGCUGACGAGCGGCGAACGGGUGAGUAAUGCUUCGGAAUCUACCUUAUGGUGGGGAAUAACUAGCCGAAAGGUUAGCUAAUACCGCAUACGUCCUACGGGAGAAAGCAGGGGAUCGCAAGACCUUGCGCCAAAAGAUGAGCCGAAGUCGGAUUAGCUAGUUGGUAGGGUAACGGCCUACCAAGGCGACGAUCCGUAGCUGGUCUGAGAGGACGACCAGCCACACUGGGACUGAGACACGGCGCAGACUCCUACGGGAGGAAGCAGUGGGGAAUAUUGGACAAUGGGGGAAACCCUGAUCCAGCGACGCCGCGUGUGUGAAGAAGGCCUGCGGGUUGUAAAGCACUUUUAGUGGGGAUGAAAUGUGCAGGGUUAAUACCUCUGCAUUUUGACCUAACCCACAGAAAAAGCACCGGCUAACUCUGUGCCAGCCGCCGCCGUAA